rnacentral:rRNA from 1 species
AUUGAACGCUGGCGGCAGGCCUAACACAUGCAAGUCGAGCGGCAGCGGGAAAGUAGCUUGCUACUUUCGCCGGCGAGCGGCGGACGGGUGAGUAAUGCCUGGGGAUCUGCCCAAUCGAGGGGGAUAACUACUGGAAACGGUAGCUAAUACCGCAUACGCCCUACGGGGGAAAGCAGGGGACCUUCGGUCCUUGCGCGAUUGGAUGAACCCAGGUGGGAUUAGCUAGUUGGUGAGGUAAUGGCUCACCAAGGCGACGAUCCCUAGCUGGUCUGAGAGGAUGAUCAGCCACACUGGAACUGAGACACGGUCCAGACUCCUACGGGAGGCAGCAGUGGGGAAUAUUGCACAAUGGGGGAAACCCUGAUGCAGCCAUGCCGCGUGUGUGAAGAAGGCCUUCGGGUUGUAAAGCACUUUCAGCGAGGAGGAAAGGUUGGUAGCUAAUAACUGCCAGCUGUGACGUUACUCGCAGAAGAGGCACCGGCUAACUCCGUGCCAGCCGCCGCAGUAA